rnacentral:rRNA from 1 species
UAGUCCACGCCCUAAACGAUGCUAACUCGAUGUUUGGAUUUCGGUCUGAGCAUCCAAGGGAAACCGUUAAGUUAGCCACCUGGGGAGUACGUCGGCAACGAUGAAACUCAAAGGAAUUGACGGGGGUCCGCACAAGGCGGUGGAGCAUGUGGUUUAAUUCGAUGAUACGCGAGGAACCUUACCUAGGCUCUAAUGCGAGCGCAAUCUGGUGAAAAGCCGGAGUUCCUUCGGGACGCGAAGCAAGGUGCUGCAUGGUUGUCGUCAGCUCGUGCCGUGAGGUGUUGGGUUAAGUCCCGCAACGAGCGCAACCCUUGUCUUAGUUGCCAUCAGGGAGUGAUCCGCUGGGCACUCUAGAGAGACUGCCCGUGAUAAGCGGGAGGAAGGUGGGGAUGACGUCAAGUCAGUAUGGCCCUUAUGCCUGGGGCUGCACACGUGCUACAAUGGCUGGUACAAUGGGACGCCAAACCGCGAGGUGGAGCAAAUCCCCAAAACAGCCUUAGUUCGGAUUGG